AUGAAGGAUUUUUACCCGAAGGUCGAUUUGAGUGGUUUCUUCCUCUUGUAUCUCCCUAAGACCAUCAGUGGCAACGAAUGGAGCAGAGUGGCUGAAGAUCUAUCUACUCGUUGUCACCAUCAAUCUCCAUGUGUGAAGCUAGUUUCGUUUGAUUCUAUGGACAGUGGGAGGAAGUUUCUGGCAUGUGCAGAGAAGGUUAGACCCUAUUUCGUUGUUACAAAUCAUUUUUUAGAUGUGAUUCAGACACUAUCACGGUCCCAACCCAUUCAUACCACACCUUCAACCAAAUGCAUCCUAAGACAGUGUCACAGUUUGUAA
rnacentral:rRNA from 1 species